GCCGAGAACAAGGUACGACCACUGCAACAGAAUGGGACUCAACAGGCCCUGAAUCUUGGCGGCUUCCUUUACGUUGGCAAACGAGCCGCACACCAUGACGUACGGCACCGCGGGUGGCUUGACGUUGGGAUCGUAGGUGGCACUGCAGCUUUCCAGCGCGAAGGGAGUGGAGAUCUGGGCACCAGCCUGCUGGGCUGCGUCCGUCAGGUUCUUCGCCAUCCAUUCAGCGGCGCCAUCGCAGCUGACCUGCUUUCCAAACGUGUAGGUCAGGGCCCCGGAUUGGUCGCGGGGUGAAAUCAGGUUGAUAGCCGCGCAAACUUGGCUGUAAGAUAUCAUUGCCGCAUCGGAGGUUUUGGAGCCCAACGAAGGUGACGGGGGCUGUGACAGAGGUGAUGGUGAUGGCGAUGGCGGCGGCGGCGACGAGACUUGUGGGGAUGGCGGGGAUGGCUUACUGAUGGGAGGGGAGGGCAUGCGGCGUGGCGAUGGCGGCCGGAGGCGCGGGGAGGACACCGGGCGCUUGGCAGGCGGCUGCGAGGCGGUCCGGCUGGCGGUCGUGGCGGCAGGCACUGAAGCCAACAGCCUGGCCCGGCGUCGGAAUCCCAGGACCGAACACACCGCCGCAUCUUUCUCUGCAUCCUUGGCGCCGCCCGCUGCUGCUGCCGGUGUCACCGCAAACCUACAUUAGGGGACAUUCAUAUAUGCACAUGCAUGAGGUCGACGACAAAUGGCAGGGGGCCACUUUGCUUGCGAAUAGCUGCUCGUGUGGCUGCUGGGCUGAACAGCUAGCAUUCGCCACUUGACGUUGGCCAGUGGGACUGGAAGCCACGCUACCGCAGGCACGCAACUUAGUUCCACACUGGCUGAGGCACGAGAUAGAGCUGAUAACAAACGGCUAUCCCGGCCGAACAGAUAUGCAAGCAGAGGGGCACGCAGCAGAAGUAACGUCCACGCCCAGCAUCGCAACAACGGCAACUAGCCUUCCAUGGCCUGGCUUGUACAGACACCCCGGCAUUCAUACGGAGUUUGUAAUAAGCAAACAACGCGACUAAUAAUGACAAACACAUGGUGGCCUCGUGGCACCGGGCCAUGGGCCCGGGCCCAGCUAACCUGGGCCCCACACGGGCUGCUGGUUGUUGAACGAUUAGUUGCCAUCCGGACCAAUAUCGCCCACGACGAUGCAAGUGCUCUCCGCAUACAAUUAUCCCACAGAAGCGUAUGCAAUAACGGCGCAAUUUGCAUCGUCGCAAUCAACCCACCUACAGUCCCCGGGGGCUUCGCACAGCAGCUGCUCGCCAACAAGGGAGCCCUGCUCCAUGUCAGCAACGGAGGUGGUGGUUAAGCAAAUGGUGGUGCCGGAGAAGGUGGAGGAAUCCAGAGACAAGCCAAAGAUGCGGAUGGUGGCAGCGUCGAUAUCAUCCAUGCCUGCAUGAAGGGCAGGCAUAAUGGAUACAUGCAUGGCGAGGGCUUAAAGUGUGAGUGCGUAAAGCUGUGUAGAGUAACCACAAUAAUACCAUAUGCAUGCGAGCCACGACCAGUAGCUAGCAGGGCCUAGCACGGCCAACCGUGCCAUGUGCACGUGUCGCUGGGAAUGCUUUCCUGUACACAUCAAAUGGGCCGAAUGCCUGGCGGCUGUCUAGUGAGUAUUGUGGUGAAAUCGACCUUCCAAAAAUUAGAGUCGGACCGCAGCCUCUCUUGUGGCGCAAUACCGUUAGCUAGCGAGUUAGCUACUAACAAGGCUGAAGGCUGUAUGUACAGGCGCACCUGCAGGGAGGGUACCGCCGUCGGUACGCUGCGGAGCCGCGUCCCAGCGCAUCCAGAUGCUGCCGUUGACCUCCACUUGCCGAACCCCCAUCUCCACAUGCUUGUGCCCACGCGAGUGUACGGCGGUGACACCUGCAGCAUUGCCCGGCCGCACCAAGAUACGUCAGUCAGUCCGUCCGUCCGUCAGUCAGUCAGUCCGUCAGUCAGUCAGUCCGUUAGCAAGGCAUUCCUUCCUCUGCAUUAAGGAACAACUUGCGUGUACACGUCCACAACGAACAUUCAAUGCUCCCAAUAUGAACGCUCCGUCGCUGCCGUGCAAGAACUAGGUGUAAGGAAAGCGUUAGGAAAGGGUUAGAUUGCAGCCACAUCAAUCCUAACUACGCCCACCCGCCUCACGUGAGUCGUACGCACCACUUGUUUGUAAGUAGAGGCUGUCCACACCGCCUCGUAGCAGUGUCUCACAACAGGUGUCGCCAGGAUCGCAGCCUCGGACCCCUACCAGGAAGCAGUACCUGCUGUCACGUUGACCGCCACCGAGGAAUCUCUGCGGGACCAUACAGGGUAGGCUGCUUGCUUGCGACACGGUAGGUGUGGGUAAUCAGGUAAUCAGGUAAUCGGGUAAUCGGGUAAUCAGGUAACCAGGUAAUCAGGUAAUCAGGUAAUCGGGUAAUCGGGUAACCAGGUAAUCAGGUAAUCGGGUAAUCAGGUUACCAGGUCAUCAGGUUAUCAGCAUAUGUGCAUAUGAGUUCCGGCUGGACGCAAUGUGAGACGGCAGGCGCUGAAGGAACGCUUGACUGCUGCACACAUACCAACCUUUGGAUGGAAAAUGGCAACUGACGGAAUCGGGUUCCGCGGUCGCACGGUCACGCGUUACCUAACUGGAUUUGACCGAGACCUGGCCGUUCAACAAAAACAAUAUCGUACGAUGCAUACCUUUUCAAAGCUAGCAAAGCCGAGGCUGUAGGGCGAGCAACCGCAAUCGCUCGUGGUAAGCCUGUGCAAGUUGGGUACAGAGCAAGAUGGGCGAAGCAGGGCCACUUGCUGAAGGGCUGAAGGCGGCUCACAGGACACCCGCCCAGGGAGCAAAGGUCGAGACUAUAUAUAAAAUAGCCCCAGCCCAUCUUUUGAAAUGGGCCAUUGUCGGUGAUAAAUGUAACAGACAUAACGAAGCCAAAAGGUUACAGGUCCGUUCCCAACGUCUUAGGGCUAAUCCAGCCUCCAGGCGACAACGUCUCCAACCAGUCCGAGUAUCGAAAAGAUAGGUAGUAGGCAUGACUAAGGCUUUGCCAUCUCAUCAUAACGAGUCCCCCGACAUGGCUCCUUAUAGCGGUUCCGAUAAUUCAGGACCUAUGCGACGCACCCGGUUAGGGACGUCCUCAACUCUUGGCCCCCACGAAGGGAGAUGAUGCGUGCGGAGACGAUGUGCUUAUAUUCCGCUAGCAAAAAAACUGCGUGACAAAAAUUAUGCGUUGCAGUGAAGUUCAACAGAGUAUGAGCAUUCAUUCCGUGGCAAUGUCAAGCAGCGCUGCGGGGGAUUCGGACGGAAGGCCAAAGCCAGAAGCUUUAUUCCUGGAUUGAGCGCGUCUUGUGCGCGCCUAUCGGAUGUAAUCAUCAUUCGCGCAUUAAAUUAAAUUCAUCACGAGCUUUCAGCAUACCUGAUAAAGAAAGAAGCGUCAACCGACGGCAAUUUGAGGUGUGCGCGGCCUUCAGAGAACACAUUCUCCGUGUGGACUAUGUCGUUUCAAUAAGGAACCAGUUUUUCUGGGACGACUUGGCCUCAGGAACUUGGGCGGCCUUUCCGACACUCCGAUAAUUUUUUUGUAGCGGUUGGGCUUUUUUUAUAGUUUCCAGUCUGUAAAGCUAAAUGUUUACUAUGAUUACGCUAAGCAAUAGUGCUUAAAAUUGAUUUAAAUGGUCUUGAAGUAAGCCAUCAGACUAUGUAGGGUGAAAAGCGAGCCGUACGGUGUCCGGCAGCUUAGCAGCCGCAACGCAUUGCUGAAAUCCACGCUUACUUCAAGUGAACUCGUAAUUAAGCGAAAAGUCAAACAUAUCACAGUUACAUUGCACUGGUAAACAGACGUACUGCGGUAGGGAAGCCUAAGUGCGUGGGGCGUAGUCGGGAAAGUGAGUAGCAGGCGGGCGGCUACAACAUAGUGGCCAAUCAGCAAAACAGUUAGCCAUCAUAAAUUAGAGUUGUUCAAUUUACAUCUCCUGAUAUCCAAAAGCUGUACAUCAGUGUGCCGUGCCAUUCUAGAAAGCAAGCGAGCCACUGCUCGUAGUGGCAGAUGUUAACAGCGCAUACACAUCCGGUUAUAAAAAUGGUAACCGUGUGCUUACAGUCAGCAUGAUGUGCAGUGGCUUUAUGCUUUUUUUACGUUAUGACCUUAUCGCUGGUUGCCUUCAAGCUUUUGGCUUCAUCAACCCUGAUUCCAUGCUAUCUGUUAGGGCUACUUACUGAGCGAUCGCUAAACUUUCGCUUUCGUUCGGCCACCAUGUGGCGAUGCCCAGGUGCACAGCGCUUCAUACACUCUGCCUUGGAAGGCCCAAGACUGUUCCGAGAACAAAAUGGUAAUGGUAUCGUGCGUCAAUGUAUGAAUGAUCUUUGUCACAGUGGAUCCGGAAAUAUAAAGCACAGCAAUCAGAUCAUUUUAAAAAUACAAAGGCCCAACAAAUAUCCUUAGCACGCAAAACAACCCAGGUAACCUGUGCCAACCCAGCGGCCUGUGGUCAGGGCGAUGCGAACUAAUUAUCGAUCCUGCGAGCACUACACAUCUGUUUUUCCACUUUGGACCAGUAAAUGGCUCAAAGUAGAACUUAUCGGUCCAAACCGGCAAUCGCAACCACACACUCUUCGACCAACCGCUAAGCAGCUGGUCUAGGUUUCAAUCGCCUGGGUCACUUAUAUUUCUAAACACUCUUGGAGCCUACAGUAGCCCAAGCGAUGUGAAAGCAUAACUCCUAGAGACGUAUGUAUGCCCCGCUGGUUGGAGUUUGGCGCAAGGAUAAAUAGCUUUUGCGCGAUGCAAGUGAGCCAUGUUGCGGUUACAAAGUAAUAAAGCAAAACGGUUAAGCGGUGCCCGAGAAUGCUCAGGGCUCCACGAGUCAUAUGCUAUCAAGCGCACCUGCACCAAGGCUACACAUCUCGCCAGCACAUGCGCCGGCAAUUUCAACUCAUGUGCUACCGCAGUCCACCACAGGACUAGGCAUCUAGUACGGCGGUGAGCUGCCCCGGUCAGCAAGGGGCUGCCCCAGCCAGUAGGGGGCUGCCCCAGUCCACUACGCCGAAAAUGUCUAGGUCUAUCUGCUAAUAGGCAGAUCGGCACUAUAUACACCGGGCUAGAGCUUAAAUCGUUCUCUAAAGUUGGUGAGGAAGUAAAAAACCACAAACGCACAGCCAUACUUGUGAAUGAUUGAGUGCUACGCAAUGCCUUGCGUGGUUUGUGAUUGCUAAAUGCAAUUAACCAAAACCUCUUCAAAAGACAGCGCAUGCAAGCAAAAUCACAUUUCAUGGAUGCACGCAAAGCUACCUUCUUCGCACACAUACACAUUUGCGUCAGGCGCAAGUCACCGGAAGCACUGGCAUGCGAGUGCGUAAAUAAUCUGCACAGCAAGCAGCGACGUCCCCGGAUCCCUUUCUUGCAACGCAGAGCCGCACACAUAGUCACGAUAACGAAAUCAAUCAAUGGUCUAAAACGGCGUAAUAGCGCCGUGUGAUCUAUGGGAUUUCCGCAUCAGCAUGUUGCCAGCCAAGACCGCCUUAAGCUAAAGAGAACAUUACCCCCAUAUACAUUAACCUGGCCAUCCUGCAACUCUUCCCAGAUAGGAGGAAGCCGAGCUACCCCGGAAAAACCUUGCCAUGGCCGCGGGCUUUCCUUCUGCAUCAUGAUGCCAGGAAUCUCUAUUUGUGUAUUCUAGUAGCACUACUGCUCGUCGUCGCCCCAACGAAUACAUGCACAGGGAUGGACUGGAUGAUUCCAUGACUACGCACGUUCUUGUGCCGCCUCAUAUCCUUUAGAGGGCACCUCGAGACGACGAGCACUGCACUUCCGAGAAAGCAACCGGUGACUCGUCCUCUGUGCCCCACACCAUAGUUUGGAUGGUGUACCCUAGUGGUGGGCACAUGUACGGCAGCGAGCCUGCCCCCUCGGGCACCUUACGGCCGAGAACAAGGUACGACCACUGCACCAGAAUGGGACUCAACAGGUCCUGAAUCUUGGCGGCUUCCUUUACGUUGGCAAACGAGCCGCACGCCAUGACGUACGGCACCGCGGGUGGCUUGACGUUGGGAUCGUAGGUGGCACUGCAGCUUUCCAGCGCGAAGGGAGUGGAGAUCUGGGCACCAGCCUGCUGGGCUGCGUCCGUCAGGUUCUUCGCCAUCCAUUCAGCGGCGCCAUCGCAGCUGACCUGCUUUCCAAACGUGUAGGUCAGGGCCCCGGAUUGGUCACGGGGUGAAAUCAGGUUGAUAGCCGCGCAAACUUGGCUGGGAAGCUCUACCGGCAUGUCUGAGGACUUUGAACUGAAGGAUGAUGGCGAUGGCGGCGGCGGCGACGAGACUUGUGGGGAUGGCGGGGAUGGCUUACUGACGGGAGGGGAGGGCAUGCGGCGUGGUGAUGGCGGCCGGAGGCGCGGGGAGGACACCGGGCGCUUGGCAGGCGGCUGCGAGGCGGUGCGGCUGGCGGCCGUGGCGGCAGGCACUGAAGCCAACAGCCUGGCCCGGCGAUGGGAUCCAAGCACCGGAAUCUCAAACGUGGAAGCUGUGCCACUGUAGCUGUCAGACGACUUGACCUCUGCAGCAAGCCUGCAGGUAUAGGCGAUGAGACGCGUAAUUAGUGAGGACAUAACGCAAAUAGCAGGGCACCAUUCUCAGCACUGGGAAGCCGGACUAAUAUGUCCUGCUGUUUUGCAGACAAGGUCAUCCCCUAAUAUAUUAAUAGUUAAGCCUAUCCGUAACGUGCUUCAGAAGUCGCUUACAUACGUCCUUCCUCAUCGCUGAGGAAGCGGCCACCCUAUUCGCUUAUGUAGUGUUGAUUAAUGGACGUAUUCGUCCUGCAAUUUUAUUUGUAGGCUUGUGACUCACUUGGAAGAUGCACUGGAGUCACCUCCCAGCAGUCCUCCGCGAAACAAAGUCCGCGACGAAGCAACGCAUGGUAAGCCGCCAACAUUUGCAACUGCAAUAGAAAGAGAAUCGCAUGGAUUACAUAUUAAGAAGGUGAGAGGAUUGGGCUAACAGGCCUGGUGUAUCCAAUUCCGCAGUGCGGAGGAAGGAGGGAGCCCACAUUCCAAUACUUCAAGAAAUAUGGAAAUCUUCCAAGACCAAACUACUUGUAUGAGAUUUGAGUCAUCGUACCUGUGAGGUACACUGCGAGCUGUAAAAGGAUUGAAAUUACAUUAGGGGUUCGCCGCGUAGCAGACAUUGUUGCCAGCUUCAAAUGGACGUAACGAUCAAGGAUAAGAGCGUGCUCGCAAUGGCAGUUGAGCUUAGGAAGGAUCCAGCGCUGGAAUGUUGACUUUGGGAGUUAUAUGCCAAACUGAUAUUGAACGUCUGUUAAAU
rnacentral:lncRNA from 1 species